CUUUCCAUGCAGUCGACGGCAGCGCGGACUUCGGUCUGGCGGCGAGUGGCGAACGGGUGAGUAAUGUAUCGGAACGUGCCCAGUAGCGGGGGAUAACUACGCGAAAGCGUAGCUAAUACCGCAUACGCCCUUUGGGGGAAAGCGGGGGACCUUCGGGCCUCGCACUAUUGGAGCGGCCGAUAUCGGAUUAGCUAGUUGGUGGGGUAAAGGCCUACCAAGGCGACGAUCCGUAGCUGGUUUGAGAGGACGACCAGCCACACUGGGACUGAGACACGGCCCAGACUCCUACGGGAGGCAGCAGUGGGGAAUUUUGGACAAUGGGGGCAACCCUGAUCCAGCCAUCCCGCGUGUGCGAUGAAGGCCUUCGGGUUGUAAAGCACUUUUGGCAGGAAAGAAACGGCCUUGGAUAAUACCUGAGGCAACUGACGGUACCUGCAGAAUAAGCACCGGCUAACUACGUGCCAGCAGCCGCGGUAAUACGUAGGGUGCAAGCGUUAAUCGGAAUUACUGGGCGUAAAGCGUGCGCAGGCGGUUCGGAAAGAAAGAUGUGAAAUCCCAGAGCUUAACUUUGGAACUGCAUUUUUAACUACCGGGCUAGAGUGUGUCAGAGGGAGGUGGAAUUCCGCGUGUAGCAGUGAAAUGCGUAGAGAUGCGGAGGAACACCGAUGGCGAAGGCAGCCUCCUGGGAUAACACUGACGCUCAUGCACGAAAGCGUGGGGAGCAAACAGGAUUAGAUACCCU
rnacentral:rRNA from 1 species